UACAGAGGCCUCAAGCGUUGUUCGGAAUUACUGGGCGUAAAGGGAAUGUAGGUGGUGAUAUAAGUCAGAUGUGAAAGCCCUGGGCUCAACCCGGGAAAGGCAUUUGAUACUGUGUCGCUUGAGUGCGUGAGAGGAAAGUGGAAUUCCAGGUGUAGGGGUGAAAUCCGUAGAUAUCUGGAGGAAUACCGACGGCGAAGGCAGCUUUCUGGCACGUAACUGACACUGAGAUUCGAAAGCAUGGGUAGCAAAC
rnacentral:rRNA from 1 species